GGAAGCGGCGCAGGCGCGGCGGCCGGCCGGCCUGGUCGCGGGGUUGCCGGGUUCCUACCGUCCGCCGGGCCUCAGCCCGUUUGUGGCUCACUGCCGCUCCGGCAGCUAAAUUCCCGGAGGGCCCGGGUCUCCCAGGGGGUCCCGGAGCCGCGGCCGCCCAGAGCGGGUCACGUCAUACCGGAAGUGCCUCGGAAAGACAGGCUUGAGGUUGGAAGAAGCCUCGCCGGUGGUGGUUUUCUUUGGCACCAGCGCGGCCCCCAGGAGUCCCCGCUUCCCAAGAUGCCGCCCCGAAGAGAGGGGCCCCGGAGGCCUGAGGGGGCAAAGUAGCAGGGCCUGCUCCGCCCCCCUGCAGACCAGCCUGACCCUGAGGCAGCGCCCGAGCUCAGGCUGGGGCACCCAGCCGCCCUUCCGGCUCCUGGCGCUCUGGCUUCCGCACAGCUGUGUGACGGAAACACGGUCCACGAGGGCAAGGAGUUUUUGUCUGAUUUGUCUGCAGACGCAGCUUUGGUCCCGGGCGGGGCAGGAUUUACUGAACUGAAUAAAAUUAAGCAAUGCAAACAAA